rnacentral:lncRNA from 1 species
CGACGCCAUCCCCGUUCACCUUGAAGCGUGUGUCAGUCGGGACAUACACGGCCCACGGCCGCCCGCUGCAGGCUGCAAAGCUCACUCGUCCCAGCUCCCUGCCCGCCGCCACGCUGUCCUGGGGCACACUGAAGCUGAAGGUCUCUGCAGCAAAGCCGGGCUGGCAGGGGGCUGCCUCGUCGCACCGCUGGCCGCACACCUGGAGCAGCAGCAGCAGCACCAACACGGGGAAGCGCUGCAGGGCGGGGGAACCCCACCGCCGGCCCAUGGCUCAGGGACCGGGCCGGUACCGGUACGGGUACCGCUGCGCACGGAGCUGCCGAGCGC